rnacentral:rRNA from 1 species
UACGGAGGGGGCUAGCGUUGUUCGGAAUUACUGGGCGUAAAGCGCACGUAGGCGGACCAGAAAGUUGGGGGUGAAAUCCCGGGGCUCAACCCCGGAACUGCCUUCAAAACUAUUGGUCUGGAGUUCGAGAGAGGUGAGUGGAAUUCCGAGUGUAGAGGUGAAAUUCGUAGAUAUUCGGAGGAACACCAGUGGCGAAGGCGGCUCACUGGCUCGAUACUGACGCUGAGGUGCGAAAGCGUGGGGAGCAAACAGG